rnacentral:lncRNA from 1 species
CCCGACGGCCCCGCCGGAGCCCGCGCUCGCCGAGGGCCGGGGCCUCUUUCUCUCGGGGCCAGCCCGGAGGGCCCCGCUCGCCCCAUCCAGACAACGACCCCCUCUCCCGGGCGCCUCCUUUGCAGCACAUCAUGGAGGCCGUUUGGCACCUGUGGUUGCGUCCACCGAGGGCUGGACUCUCCAGCUGCGGUGUCCUCCUGUACCGCUGCUCUCCCCCAAAUCUGCCGCUGGCACGUGUGGGCCAUCGCUCCUGUGUAGACGAUCUUGAACAUCUUAACAGCGCUUUAACCAGCUGCAGCCACGACCUGCAGAAGGAAGAGGAAAAGCUAACAAACAAGCCUGAAAAGAAGUAAAGGGGUAAAGCAUUCAUGAGAGAGAUGAAAACUGAACACUCUUCAGUGGCAGCAUACAAAGCAAGCAAGGUAAGACAUUCUUGGAAAAAGCAGAAGAUAUUUGCUGGCAUACACAAGGUUUGUACUUGUUUU